UCCCCAGCAGUCUAGUGGUUAGGACUCUGCACUCUCACUGCAGGGGACACGGGUUCAAACCCUGCUCUGGGAA
rnacentral:tRNA from 1 species